CCUACGGGAGGCAGCAGUGGGGAAUUUUGCGCAAUGGGGGCAACCCUGACGCAGCAACGCCGCGUGAGUGAUGAAGGCCUUCGGGUCGUAAAGCUCUGUCAGAGGGGAAGAAAUGCAGGUGGUGAACAACCAUUCUGUUUGACGGUACCCUCAAAGGAAGCACCGGCUAACUCCGUGCCAGCAGCCGCGGUAAUACGGAGGGUGCGAGCGUUGUUCGGAAUUAUUGGGCGUAAAGCGCGUGUAGGCGGUUUGUUAAGUCUGAUGUGAAAGCCCCGGGCUCAACCGGGGAAGUGCAUUGGAUACUAGCAGACUUGAGUACGGGAGAGGAGAGUGGAAUUCCCAGUGUAGGAGUGAAAUCCGUAGAUAUGGGGAGGAACACCAGUGGCGAAGGCGGCUCUCUGGACCGAGACUGACGCUGAAACGCGAAAGCGGGGGGAGCAAACAGGAUUAGAUCCCCCUGUAGU
rnacentral:rRNA from 1 species